AUCCCCAGCCACAAAUCCAUGUUUUGAUCCAUAAACUUGAACCCCCUCUCAACUCUCAACCGUGAUUACGAAAACCAUUUCUCUGAUUCGCAUCUCUCUCAACACCCGUCCAAACAUAGUGCAGAGCCACCCUCCGAUUAAGAUCACUCAUCUCCACCACCACAAUCGCCUUCAAAGUCCAAACAUCAUCCCCUCACAAGUUCCUGGUCAACCCACCCAGUGGACUCAUCUCCCCUUGGUCUCAAACCACCUUCCAAAUAAUCCUCAAACCACAACCUCAAAUCCCAUCUUCUCACCCGCGUUCGCCACUGUCCGCUUUUUAAUCCGAACCAUUCGGGUUGGAUCAUCUGAGUCGGUUAACCCGGAUACCCUCGCUUCCUGGACACAUGAUGUUAAGCUGAAAGUAGCAUUUCUUGGCCCGUUUUUUGCUCAAACACGCGGUGAGUAAUGGCGACUAUGACGCCGUUAGGAGUAUGGUUAAGCUUCAGAGGACGGUGUUAAGCGAAUUUUCGGUUCGUGAGGCUGAGUUGCUCUACCGAGUGGCGAACAGGUUGGAUAACUCGGUUGACAUGGUGAGUUUACUACUCGGGGCCGGUUUGAAAGUGGAGGGAACUAGUUUAGAAGAGGUGGAGGAAUGUAGACGGGCCGUGAAAGGGUGGUCGGAGUUACACGUGGCAGUGGCGUUUGAUCGGACGGAUGCGAUUACGAGAUUGAUAAAGAUGGGAAGCAUUGGACGUUGGAGUGUAAAGAUCGAGAUGGACGGACGCCGUUGUAUUUGGCGGCGAGUAAAGGGUAUGAGAGGCGUGUUAAAGUGUUGGCGGGUGCUGGUGCUAAUGUGGACGCUAGGCGUAAAGAUGGUUGUACGGCAUUGUAUAGGGCGGCCGUGAAGGGUAACCGUUGGAUGGUGAAAGUGCUCAUUGACCCGGGAGCGGAUCCUUCGAAUGUAGCCAAUGAUAGGCAAUGCUCGGCCAUAGAUGUCGCCCGUGAUGAAUGAUAUAACGGAAUUGUUGAAACCCUAUAACGAGGGGAAGAGGUGUUGAAUGCUGCACGACAUGGAGAUAUCGUUCGUCUUGAAUCUUUGCUAGAGAGAGAUGCAACCAAACAACAACCUUUCCAUCCGAAGACCACCGUCCGACGUUCUUCCAGCCGUGGCUGUUCGUAAGUCUGAAGGGUCCAUAGACUGAAUUUAUUAAUUUGCAAUUCAGGUACAAUUAUCCUUUAGUUGAUUUAUUAAACAACACAUACAUCAGUUAUAUAUUUUUAUUGUUUCGAUUUUGAAUAUAGUAUCUAUAAGGUAGCGUUUGGUAUGAAGGAAUAGAUGGUGGAAUGGAAUGGAUCAUUCUGAUGGAAUAAAAAGAAACAUGUUUGGUUAUCAUGUGGUAAUGGAAUAGAGCAUUCCAAAGGAAUGUAACUCUUUCCAUAUAUAACAAUUUCUAUUCCUUGGUAAAGAGGUGUUUUUUUCCCAUUCCUUCAAGGAAUGGAAAGAAAUAUAUAUUUAUUAUUAUUAUUAUUAUUAUUAUUAUUAUAUUUAUAUUAAUACUAAUAUUAAUAUAUAUCAAUUUUUUAUUAUUAAGUUUUUACCAUGAAUAUAUUAUUAUUAUUAUUAUUAUAAUUAUUAUUAUUAUUGAGGCAAUUAAAUUUUUUUCCUUUUAAUACAAUUGUAUUCCGUUACUUUGUCUUUUUUUGUCUAUCAAAUUGUACAAAGUAAUGAUUCAUUUUAUUAUGCGUAACCAAACAUCAUUCUAUUCACGUAUAAGUAACCAAACAUCACAAUGGAAUGGAAUGAUCCAUUUCAUUCCAUUGUCCAUUCCAUUCCCUCGUUCAUUCCAUUCCCUCAUUCAUUCCAUUACCACAUACCAAACAGACCCUAAAUCUUUGUUUGGUUUGAUUCUUGAUUCUGGUGACAGCAUAAAUUGUGAAGUUUUAUGAAGUAGAUACAAAUAAUUGAUUCUACCAAAAAAUGAAAGAAUCUAUAAUUGAUUUUAAUCAACUCACAUACAUACAAUAUUUUUCUACUUGAGUUAUUUAUUUACUUAUUAGUUUUCUUUUUGCAGAGACAUGUUUUAUUUGUAUCCUAAGGCCAUUUGUAGUUAUAAAGCCUCUUCUGGGGCGUUAUGCGACACGUGUCGUGCCACGUCACACAGGGGCUUUAUGGGGCGUUAUAUCACUAGAGCCCGUAGUCAUAAAACCCCUAUUCAUCAUUACCUAAUUAUUAAUUUUCGUUUUUAUUAAUUAAUUAUAAAAACACUUGAUUUUUUGUGAUUGGUCAAAUUUUUGAAAACAACCUCCAUACGCCGCUAUAUGCAUGGUGCCUCCCCCCCCCCAAAAAAUCCCCCAUAGCGCCGCCCGUCGUGGUGUGCGGGGCGCUAUGGGGCGCUAUAAAUAAAAAAAAUGGCCAAAUAACGCCCCAUUACAGGAAGUCUAAUCUAUGUGUGGUAAGUACAAUAUCCUCAUUGAAAUCAAGGAUCAAACUUUAGUAGUUAAGAGAUGAUUAUUCAAGUGACAUAUAAUAACUUUUUUUUUGUUUUUUUGCAAGAGAGGCAGUUUUUGCAAGUUUGUAUUUGCAUAUGAUGACAAAACGUGGAUUUUGGAUCUCAUACGGAAUCCGUCGAAUAAUUUGGAUUGGAAGAAGACAACAAGUAGAGAAAUAUGCUAUGACCGGAAAAUUGAAGAAAGUUGUUUAUACACUCAAAUGAAAUGGAGACUAGAAUUGUUGUCAGAUAAUCCGUCACAAAUUGUUCUUUAAUGUUGAAAUUACGUGUAUGGUUUUUGUAUAGUUUGGAUUUUAAUGUGUUAUUUGAAUAAGUUGGUAUUUUAAUUUGAUUGGUUUGUAUAUUAAGUCAUGUUGGUUGUUUAUAUUUAUUAAAGAUUUGAGUA